AUUGAACGCUGGCGGCAGGCCUAACACAUGCAAGUCGAACGGUAACAGGAAGAAGCUUGCUUCUUUGCUGACGAGUGGCGGACGGGUGAGUAAUGUCUGGGAAACUGCCUGAUGGAGGGGGAUAACUACUGGAAACGGUAGCUAAUACCGCAUAACGUCGCAAGACCAAAGAGGGGGACCUUCGGGCCUCUUGCCAUCGGAUGUGCCCAGAUGGGAUUAGCUAGUAGGUGGGGUAACGGCUCACCUAGGCGACGAUCCCUAGCUGGUCUGAGAGGAUGACCAGCCACACUGGAACUGAGACACGGUCCAGACUCCUACGGGAGGCAGCAGUGGGGAAUAUUGCACAAUGGGCGCAAGCCUGAUGCAGCCAUGCCGCGUGUAUGAAGAAGGCCUUCGGGUUGUAAAGUACUUUCAGCGGGGAGGAAGGGAGUAAAGUUAAUACCUUUGCUUAUUGACGUUACCCGCAGAAGAAGCACCGGCUAACUCCGUG
rnacentral:rRNA from 1 species